rnacentral:rRNA from 1 species
CCUACGGGAGGCAGCAGUGAGGAAUAUUGGUCAAUGGACGAGAGUCUGAACCAGCCAAGUAGCGUGAAGGAUGACUGCCCUAUGGGUUGUAAACUUCUUUUAUAUGGGAAUAAAAUGUUCCACGUGUGGGAUUUUGUAUGUACCAUAUGAAUAAGGAUCGGCUAACUCCGUGCCAGCAGCCGCGGUAAUACGGAGGAUCCGAGCGUUAUCCGGAUUUAUUGGGUUUAAAGGGAGAGUAGGUGGAUUGUUAAGUCAGUUGUGAAAGUUUGCGGCUCCACCGUAAAAUUGCAGUUGAAACUGGCAGUCUUGAGUACAGUAGAGGUGGGCGGAAUUCGUGGUGUAGCGGUGAAAUGCUUAGAUAUCACGAAGAACUCCGAUUGCGAAGGCAGUUCACUGGACUGCAACUGACACUGAGGCUCGAAAGUGUGGGUAUCAAACAGGAUUAGAUACCCCAGUAGUC